UGCUCACCCAUGGUAUCAUUGUAUCACCAUCUUUAAAAGAUGCAGGAGCUGAUUGGAAGGGCUUGCACUGGUCUCUAAAGAAGGGACAGUGGGAUAAGGUCUGCCUUGAAUGCAGCGAAAUAUGCAAUGAAUGACUUAUAAAAUGCAGCAAAUAGGCUUAAAAAUCUCAAAAUGUCACAAGGUGAACCUGGUACUUGGGAACAUGGUGAAAGGAUUCAAUUACUUCAUGCUUUAUUAUACACAUUGCACUUCAGCGUGGCUAAUUAUUGAUGAAGCAUUUCUUAUUUUAAGAAACAUUUUUGCUGUUAAAUGUAGGGAGAAUGUUAAUCUCCUAUGAAGUAACAGAAGUACAUGAUAGUCACAAGUGACUGCUGGAAUCAGUAAGUGUGGCAGAGCUCUUUUUUUUUUUUUAUUGUUGAGGAUAGUCUUAGCUAUCCUGGGUUUUUUGUUAUUCCAGAUGAAUUUGCAAAUUGUUCUGUCUAAGUAUUUGAAGAAUUGGAUUGGUAUUUUGAUGGGGAUUGCAUUGAAUCUGUAGAUCGCUUUUGGUAAAAUGGCCAUUUUUACUAUAUUAAUCCUGCCAAUCCAUGAGCAUGGGAGAUCUUUCCAUCUUCUGAGGUCUUCUUCAAUUUCUUUCUUCAGUGUCUUGAAGUUCUUAUUGUACAGAUCUUUUACUUGCUUGGUUAAAGUCACACCGAGGUACUUUAUAUUAUUUGGGUCUAUUAUGAAGGGUGUCGUUUCCCUAAUUUCUUUCUCGGCUUGUUUCUCUUUUGUGUAGAGGAAGGCUACUGAUUUAUUUGAGUUAAUUUUAUAUCCAGCCACUUUGCUGAAGUUGUUUAUCAGCUUUAGUAGUUCUCUGGUGGAACUUUUAUGUGAACAUUUACAUUUUGACCCUAUCUUCUCUUUAUCUCUUAAGUUGGCUCCAACAAGGAGUAGCUUUUUUUUUCCUAUUUUCUUUUUUUGUCCUUUUUUUAUUGGAUAUUUCUUUAUUUACAUUUCAAAUGUUAUUCCCUUUCCUGGUUUCCUGUCCAUAAGGUCCCUAUCCUUUCCCUCUCCCCUUCUAUAAGGGUGUUCCCCUCCCUAUCCACUCCCCUUAUGGCCUCCCAACAUUCCCUUACACUGGGGGUCCAACCUUGGCAGGACCAAGGGCUUCAAGGAGUAGCCUUUAAAUAGUCCCUUUAAAGAAAAGAACUAUUGCACUGAAGGAAUUGACCAAUGUCAUUCCAUGAAAUUAAAAUAUCCUGCAUAGCAAAGAUGCUAUCCAUAGAGUCUAAAGAAUGAGCAAAAGUAUUCUCUAGGUAUACUUCAGGCAAAGGAUUAGUAGCUAAAGUAUGUAAUAGAUUGCAAACCCAGAAAACUCUACUAAUCAAUAAAUGAACCAAAUAUCCAAAUGGACAUUUCUCACAAAAAAGAGAGAUGAAUGGCUAAUACAUAGUUUUAAAGUGUUCGAGUUCUUUAGCUACCAAAGAAAUGCAAGUUAACCUACUUUCAGAUUUCUCUCAUUCUGGACAGGAUGGCCUUCAUUAAGAAAGCAGUGGACAACAAAUGCUGGUGAGGAAUGUAAAGUUGUGUGUAGUCACCAUGGAAAUCAGGCUGGUUGUUUCUCUAAAAAUUAAAUGAAGAACCACCAUGUGAUCCAGCUCUAUUGAAUCUGGGAUGAACCCAAUGGACUCUACAUCCUAUUACAGACAUAGUUGCACAUGCAUGAACAAUCCUGCUGCAUUCCCUAUGGUCAGGAUAGUGAAUCAAUCAGCCUAGAUGUUCAUCAACUAACAAUGAAUAAUGAAAACAUGGUACUUAUGCACAAUGAAAUUUUGGAUUUGCAGGAACUGUGAUGUUAACCAGGCAACUAAGGCACAGACAAGCAAAUGCCAUAUGUUCUCUCUCAUAUUCAGUCCUACUUAAAUAUGUAGAUCCAAGUGGAUGUAAACAUGGGUAAAAAAACAGAAAACUAGAAAGAGGACCAUGUUACUAGGAAAAGAAGAGCUUUAAAGAAAGGAAUGUGGAAGAGAGUGGAACAAUGUGGAAGGGAAAUACAGGGGACCAACAUAAGAGGAGGAGACAGGGAGAUGGGGGUAGGGAGAGUCAACCAAAAUAAAAUGUUUGAAAAUCCCAUGUGUAUAUCCAUUAUCUUGCAAACUAAUUUAAAGGACAAAAUCAAUAUAUUUUAAUGCAUAAAAAUGCAAAGAAAAGGGGUUGGGGAUUUAGCUCAGUGGUAGAGCGCUUGCCCAGAAAGCGCAAGGCCCUGGGUUCGGUCCUCAGCUCUGGAAAAAAAAAGAAAGAGAAAAAAAAUGCAAAGAAAAAGCUAUGUUUCGAUAUGGUAGUAAUCAUACUUUGUCUAUGUAAAAUGAAGAGAAAAUAAAAAUGUCCUAAUUCAGAAUUUUUUUUUUCAAUCCAGGAAACAUCAUCAAAGCAGAUGAUCACAGUAGCCAAAGAUUCUGACAGUAUUUGCGUAUAUUCUUCCCAACUUUAUUUGAUGUUGGGAUUCAAGUUUCAUAAAAUAAACAUUUCCAAGUUAAAUUUCUAAUGCUCCAUCAGUGUGACAAUGGUAUUUAUGUCCUCUUCUUUGAUCCCAGAACCUUGUCUGCUUCAUCAGUUUCCUCCUCAGAUUAUGGAAAUAUCCAGCUCUUUGAUCAUCAAAAAACAUGUUUUCAAAUACAACCCCUCCAUUCCCUUCUUUCUUUCUUUUUUUUUUUUUUGGUUCUUUUUUUCGGAGCUGGGGACCGAACCCAGGGCCUUGUGCUUCCUAGAUAAGCGCUCCACCACUGAGCUAAAUCCCCAGCCCCUCAUUCCCUUCUUUCAAAAGUCAUUUUCUGUAAGUGUCUAUUUUUUAAGUGUGUAAUUAAAAUAAUAGUGCUCCUUUCAAUGAAAAUAAAAUUAAGUAAAUAUGAAUACAUUAAUUGUAAAACAUUUAAUAUUUGAUUACAAUUUCAAAGUUUACUAAAAGGCUUUUUGUGUUGUUUUCCUUUCUCCUCAAUAUUAAGAAAGUACCUGAAUUACCUCUCUAAGAUAGAGUGAUCAGAGCAGACAUCGUUAUGAGAAGCGGCUUCCUCUACUUCCUUUCUUUCAAAGGUGCCCCGGAUUCACUCUGUACAUGAACAAAGAAUCAGAAUCAGUGUGUGGAGAGUCAGUGAAGCUGAGAGUCACCAAGAGAACUCCUUAGCUUCAGGGGAGUUGAAUAUAGGUUAACACUGGGUGAUUCCUACAAAGGGGGAAUCAUCCAAGCUGUAGAAAUAACUAGAUGAAGAAAAUAAUUAAUGAACUGGGGAAAUCUUAUAAGGAUCCUGAGAAAUUCUAAGCUUUAUAGCUAGAAGACAUUCUGAGAAAUGGGGUUAUCAAUUGUGUAAUUCUUUCAAGGGUUGGUUUCAAACAAUUCAGUGUGGCUUCUUUGAGUGUGAUACAUAUUCUACGAGUCUAUAAAUACAACAGGUAUUCCUGUUUAAAAUCUAGCCUCAUGGAAAUAUAUAUUUAUCAUUCUCUGAGCUGGAAAUCAAAAUAAUAGCACCAAAACACAUGUGGGGAAAUACUUACCUAUUAAGGAAAACUGUCAACCCAACUGUUCUGUACAACCAGAAUGUUUUUGUUAGCAACACUUUUAAUAUUUAGAGCUUUCCAAUUUGGAGAAUGUUUAGGGAACCAAGUACAGUGCAAUUAAAUGAGACAUAGCAGUGAAGCACAAAAGCUAAAGAAGUUUCAUGAACAUCAACCAUAGUGAGGAGCCCAUCACUAGAAAGGAAAGCAGCCUGAAUCCUGCCUGCUGAUGUUUAAUGUUACAAACUGUUAGGCUAAAGAAUGAGACAUUUUAAUCCUAAAUCACUCUCUUACCUGACUGACUUUUGAAACACUUUUUUCAAGUGCAUGUCAAGAAAUUGAGCAAGUUGGGAAGUAUUUGAAGCGACAGUUCAUGCUGUACCUCUGGCUUACUGUCUUCAUCUGUAGAUACCUUGCUACUGCCCUGAAAUUCUGCAAGUACGCUAAGAAGAGUGAGCUCUAGACAUAAAAGUCCCAAGGGAGCUUGUCCCUCAGGCUGAGCAGGAUAGAUGUGAAUAUUAAUAGGGUAUUUUUCCCCACCUGUCAUAGGAGAAAUGUGCUUGCAUAAUUCUUCUGUGAUCCUUGUGUUUUUCCUUAUUUUUUCCCACAGUUUUAGUUACAUGGACAAGAGGAUAAGGUGGCCAUGUACAUCAACACAGUCAAUUUCCUUUUAUCUCUUUACAGUUUUGAGUUCAUUCCCUCACCCAUACAAUUUCUCUGGAAAUGCACUGUAAAUUUAAUGGGAAUAUAGACUUUAAAUAUUUUUAAUUGAUGGCAGAUAAUUGUUUUGAUUUGUGCUAUUGAAUAGUUUUCCACAUUUGUGAUGGUUUGUAUAUGCUUGGCCAAGGGAGUGGGACUCUUAGAAGUUGUAGCCCUAUCUGAGUAGGUGUUGUCUUUUAGGAGUUGGCAUGGCACUGUAGUGUGGACUUUAAGAGCCUUAUCCUAGUUGCCUGAAUGUCAGUAUUCUGUUAGCAGCCUUCAGAUGAAGAUGUAGAACUCUCAGUUCUGCCUGCACGAUGUCUGCCUAGAUGCUGCUAUAUUCCCUCCUUGAAGAUAAUAGACUGAACCUCUGAAUAUGAAAACCAGCCCCAAUUAAAUGUCAUUUGUAAAACUUGUCUUGGACACGGUAUCUGUUCACAGCAGUAAAACCCUAAGACACCAUUUUUUUCUCUUGUCUUCAUCUCUCAAGUGCUGUAGUUUCAGAGAUGUACCACUCUCACUGACUGAAGGUCUGUCCAUCAUCCAUCUGUGGAAUGAUAUCAUGUUUCCUUAGCAUCAUUUGUCAAAUAGUCUCUCUUUUCUCCAACAUAUGUGUUAAAUUUAAUGUUGGUUUGUGAGAUAACUCAGUGUUUAGGGCACUUGCUGUGCAAGCAUAAGCAACAUAGUUUUUAAUCCCAAGACCCACCUAAAAGCCAGACUUGAAUUGUCACAACCCGAAAUACCAGCAUUCAAGAGACAAAAACAGGAGAUUCAUAUGUAAUGUUGGCUAUCUUUCAGACAUAUCAAAGAGCUCCUGGUUCAGGGACAGGCCUUGUUUCAAUAAUGUGAAAACUGUUUGAAUAAGGCAACCAAAAUAAAUUUUAAACCUUCACAAACAAUGACCUGCACAUUGAAUCUGUGCAGAAAUAAGGGAACCAAAUAAUUUUGGGUCAUUAGGUUUACUUCUGCAACCUCGAUUCCAUUUCACUGUUGUAUAUCUCUGUUUUUGUGCUAGGAACAUCAUUGUCAAUAUUUCUCUGUAGAGUAACUUGAAUCAAUGUUGGAACACCUCUAGCAUUGUUCUUUCUUCCCAUUCUUGGCUCUUCAUGGUCUUUUCAAGCUCGGUAUGAAAUUCUUUCCUUUUAUAUCUGCCAAUAAUAUCACUUGGAUUUUGAUGAGAAAAGUGCAAAAUCUGUACAUGGAAUUUCUGUGGGAAAUAUAGCCAAUUUCAAAAGAUUAAUGCUACUAAAAUGUGCAUAGCCAAGAAUCUCUCAUAAUCAGCUGUCUUCUUCAACAUGUUUUCUUUACUUUUCUCUCACACAAUAAAUCUCAAAUAGAACAUCCCUUCCAUAGAGUUCAAAGGAGUCUCCACAGAGACAACCACAUACAUCUAUAUCCUAGUAUCUACUCAUUUAUGUCCCAGUUUGCUCACAUGUCUCCAAACCAUCUCACUUUCUUUUUUUUUCCAGAGCUGGGGACCGAACCCAGGGCCUUGUGCUUGCUAGGCAAGUGCUCUACCACUGAGCUAAAUCCCCAACCACCAUCUCACUUUCUAAUCCCCUUCAAUUUAUGCUUUCAUUAAUACAUAUAUUAUACAACAUAAGAGGUAAAAAUACCUCCCUAUAUACUAGUGUUCUCUGCUACCUUUAAAAGCCUUUCCCCAUGUAGGGAGCUAAUAACUAACAACUAGCAGGUGAUUUUCCUGGGUUGGUCUGCCUUGGAUGAUAAUCCACAACACAUUUUCUCUCAUUGGCAAGGCCCAGGAGAAAAUAAUUUUAGGGAAGAAUCCUGUAUUAAUAUACUUUCCUGUUAUUAUUAAAUAUAUAUAACAAUCAGUAGGUAUUAGCCUACCCUUCUGAGCAGAUCUCCGCAGAUCUAUGAAGAUGUACUGUCUUGUAGUGAUGCUAUAUAGACAAACAAAUGUUUAAUUUUUAAUGAUGCUCCUAUAAGAUUUUUAAAAUUAUAUCAGUAUUUAUUAAGCUUUUAAGUUUUAUAGUGUGAUUGCUAUUAGAUACUUUUCUGAUAUGCAAAACUGCUAUGGGAACUCUGUCAGUUUCCUGUGUUACUAGUUAAUUGCUUCUAGAUAGUAACCAAUCUUUCUACUACCCAGAGCUCAUUCCAAGAGGUUGUAAUACAAUUAACCAAAGCUCAUAAAAAGGGGAACUAAUGAUUUAAUAUAGGUGCUAGGACAGAUGAUAUAAUUUUGACUGCAUUUAUCGAUACAAAACCACUAAUAACUUAGUCUUUGUUUUUAACUUUCAAUGACGUAUUGGAUCUGUGACAGGUGAAGGAUGUUUAGUCAGAUAAUUCUACAGGAUAUGCAUUCAAUCAUUCUUUGUUGUAAAUUUCUCUUUCAAUUUAUGAUUUGAUUUUAUGUGUGAACUCGUGAUGAACUUUUUAACAUAUGAGCAUGUAUUUUGAAAGCUGUUUAUGGGCUGAGGACAAAGAGGAGAGAGAGGAACUGAACUGAGGAGAAGUUUUUUAGACAGAACAUUCUAGACAGUACUGAACUCAAGAAGAACUUAGAAGGAAAGGGAUAGCAUUGGGGAAAAUGGCAUUGAGAGUAAAAGCAUUAUUGUGACAUCAGAGCAGGAGGAGACAGCAAGAUUAGGAGAAAACAGAGGGCAAUAGCUUAGAAACUCUGAGUAAUAAAAAACUAAGAGAGCAAUGUGCAUAAUGCAGAGGGAAAGAGGAAAAA